GCCAGCGUAACAUAGUGGUUUGAGUGUCGGACUGCAAAUCUGGAGACAAGGGUUCGAUUCCCAGCUCAGCCA